rnacentral:rRNA from 1 species
AGUGAACGCUGGCGGCAGGCCUAAUACAUGCAAGUCGAACGGCAGCACAGCAGAGCUUGCUCUGUGGGUGGCGAGUGGGCGGACGGGUGAGGAAUACAUGGGAAUCUGCCCAGUCGUGGGGGAUAACGUAGGGAAACUUACGCUAAUACCGCAUGCGCCCUUCGGGGAAAGCCGGGGACCUUCGGCCUGGCGCGAUUGGAUGAGCCCAUGUCGGAUUAGCUAGUUGGCGGGGUAAUGGCCCACCAAGGCGACGAUCCGUAGCUGGUCUGAGAGGAUGAUCAGCCACACUGGAACUGAGACACGGUCCAGACUCCUACGGGAGGCAGCAGUAGGGAAUAUUGGACAAUGGGCGCAAGCCUGAUCCAGCCAUGCCGCGUGAGUGAAGAAGGCCCUCGGGUUGUAAAGCUCUUUUGUCCGGAAAGAAAAGACGCCGGGUUAAUACCCUAGUGUCCUGACGGUACCGGAAGAAUAAGCACCGGCUAACUUCGUGCCAGCAGCCGCGGUAA